rnacentral:rRNA from 1 species
CAGCAGCCACGGUAAAACGUAGGGUGCAAGCGUUAAUCGGAAUUACUGGGCGUAAAGCGUGCGCAGGCGGUUUGUUAAGUCAGAUGUGAAAUCCCCGAGCUUAACUUGGGAACUGCAUUUGAAACUGGCAAGCUAGAGUCUUGUAGAGGGGGGUAGAAUUCCAGGUGUAGCGGUGAAAUGCGUAGAGAUCUGGAGGAAUACCGGUGGCGAAGGCGGCCCCCUGGACAAAGACUGACGCUCAGGUGCGAAAGCGUGGGGAGCAAACAGGAUUAGAUACCCCUGUAGUCCCUGUCUCUUAUAC